rnacentral:tRNA from 1 species
UCCCUGGUGGUCCAGUGGCUAAGACUCUGUGCUCCUGAUGCAGGGGUGCUGGGUUCGAUCCCUGGUCAGGGAA